rnacentral:lncRNA from 10 species
CUUUAAUAUCAGGUUCUUGUAAAUAACAAUGGAAUUGGUUGGCUGUACUGUUUCAGAGUUUUGAAGGUAUGCCCUCCUGCUGUAUCUCAAUAAAUUACAAUUGUUCCACGGGAUAAAAAAGCUUCACAUCAAGAGGGACUUUGGGGUAGUAGUACCCCCUGGAGAUACAAUAAAUGCUGCUUGGGGAUGAAAUGAUGAGGCAUAGAUCCUAGUUUUCUAAGAAUCCUCCAAAAGAGUACUAUGGUCUUUGCACACAUGUCCUCUCAGCCCAGAACGCUCUGCCCCGACUCUCUGCGUCGUUGGACCUGCAUGGUACUGUGUGCCUAACAGGUACAUUCAAUACAUAUUUGUUUAAUA